GACUCUGCAUCUGUCCAUAUAUUCUUCUCUCUUUACACACCACUACACUCUUCUUAUUUCGAAGACACGGUUGAACAUUAAUGAAGGGACAGAUGCAGUGUAGAAGUUUCGAACAGGUUGAGAGUUUGUCUAUCAUGCACUUGCAAUAGCCAUGUGGAAUUGCAGAAAUCGUAUGUAGGAUUCUCUCAGGUUCACAAAGGGCUUUACUUUGUUGAAAUGGAUAAGAAGCUAGCUUUUCAAUGCUAAAAACUGAAGGAUUUUCCAUUUACAUACCUCUCCAGAAGCAGUGUUGGAUGCUUUCUGUGGUUAGGCCUGAUGAACAUGAGA